GACGAACGCUGGCGGCGUGCUUAACACAUGCAAGUCGAACGGAAAGGCCCUGCUUUUGCGGGGUGCUCGAGUGGCGAACGGGUGAGUAACACGUGAGUAACCAGCCCUUGACUUUGGGAUAACUUCAGGAAACUGGGGCUAAUACCGGAUAGGAGCUCCUGCUGCAUGGUGGGGGUUGGAAAGUUUCGGCGGUUGGGGAUGGACUCGCGGCUUAUCAGCUUGUUGGUGGGGUAGUGGCUUACCAAGGCUUUGACGGGUAGCCGGCCUGAGAGGGUGACCGGCCACAUUGGGACUGAGAUACGGCCCAGACUCCUACGGGAGGCAGCAGUGGGGAAUAUUGCACAAUGGGCGGAAGCCUGAUGCAGCAACGCCGCGUGCGGGAUGACGGCCUUCGGGUUGUAAACCGCUUUCGCCUGUGACGAAGCGUGAGUGACGGUAAUGGGUAAAGAAGCACCGGCUAACUACGUG
rnacentral:rRNA from 1 species